GACAGAGGAUGCAAGCGUUAUCCGGAAUGAUUGGGCGUAAAGAGCUCGUAGGCGGUCUGUCGCGUCGGCUGUGAAAUCCCGAGGCUCAACCUCGGGUCUGCAGUCGAUACGGGCAAACUAGAGUAUUGCAGGGGAGACUGGAAUUCCUGGUGUAGCGGUGAAAUGCGCAGAUAUCAGGAGGAACACCGGUGGCGAAGGCGGGUCUCUGGGCAAUAACUGACGCUGAGGAGCGAAAGCGUGGGGAGCGAACAGG
rnacentral:rRNA from 1 species